AUUGAACGCUGGCGGCAUGCCUUACACAUGCAAGUCGAACGGUAACAGGUCUUCGGAUGCUGACGAGUGGCGAACGGGUGAGUAAUACAUCGGAACGUGCCUAGUAGUGGGGGAUAACUACUCGAAAGAGUGGCUAAUACCGCAUGAGAUCUACGGAUGAAAGCAGGGGAUCGCAAGACCUUGUGCUACUAGAGCGGCCGAUGGCAGAUUAGGUAGUUGGUGGGAUAAAAGCUUACCAAGCCGACGAUCUGUAGCUGGUCUGAGAGGACGAUCAGCAGCACUGGGACUGAGAAACGGCCCAGACUCCUACGGGAGGCAGCAGUGGGGAAUUUUGGACAAUGGGCGCAAGCCUGAUCCAGCAAUGCCGCGUGCAGGAUGAAGGCCUUCGGGUUGUAAACUGCUUUUGUACGGAACGAAAAGCCCUGGGUUAAUACCCUGGGGUCAUGACGGUACCGUAAGAAUAAGCACCGGCUAACUACGUGCCAGCCGCCGCGGUAACAC
rnacentral:rRNA from 1 species